rnacentral:rRNA from 1 species
CAGUCGCCGCGGGAAUACGAAGGGUGCAAGCGUUAAUCGGAAUUACUGGGCGUAAAGCGUGCGUAGGCGGUUUGUUAAGUCUGCUGUGAAAUCCCCGGGCUCAACCUGGGAAUGGCAGUGGAUACUGGCAAGCUAGAGUGUGUCAGAGGAUGGUGGGAUUCCCGGUGGAGCGGUGAAAUGCGUUGAGAUCGGAAAGAACACCAACGGCGAAAGCACUCUGCUGGGCCGACACUGACACUGAGAGACGAAAGCUAGGGGAGCAAAUGGGAUUAGAUACCCCAGUAGUCCCUGUCUCUUAUAU